rnacentral:miRNA from 1 species
CAUCAUCAUGUAUUAGGCUGGUGCAAAAGUACUUGUGGGUUUUGCCAUUACUUUCAAUAGCAAAAACCACAAUUACUUUUGCACUAACCUAGUA